rnacentral:rRNA from 1 species
GCAAGUCGAACGGUAACGAUGGAAGCUUGCUUCCAGGCGACGAGUGGCGGACGGGUGAGUACAAAUUAGGAAUCUGCCCAGUAGUGGGGGACAACUCGGGGAAACCCGAGCUAAUACCGCAUACGCCCUAAGGGGGAAAGUGGGGGCCUUUUGGCCUCACGCUAUUGGAUGAGCCUAAUUCGGAUUAGCUUGUUGGUGAGGUAAAAGCUCACCAAGGCGACGAUCCGUAGCUGGUCUGAGAGGACGAUC